GAGAGGAAGUUUACUUUUUCAAGCGAGUGGCGAACGGGUGAGUAACGCGUGAGGAACCUGCCUCAAAGAGGGGGACAACAGUUGGAAACGACUGCUAAUACCGCAUAAGCCCACGGCUCGGCAUCGAGCAGAGGGAAAAGGAGCAAUCCGCUUUGAGAUGGCCUCGCGUCCGAUUAGCUAGUUGGUGAGGUAACGGCCCACCAAGGCGACGAUCGGUAGCCGGACUGAGAGGUUGAACGGCCACAUUGGGACUGAGACACGGCCCAGACUCCUACGGGAGGCAGCAGUGGGGAAUAUUGCACAAUGGGGGAAACCCUGAUGCAGCGACGCCGCGUGGAGGAAGAAGGUCUUCGGAUUGUAAACUCCUGUUGUUGAGGAAGAUAAUGACGGUACUCAACAAGGAAGUGACGGCUAACUACGUGCCAGCAGCCGCGGUAAAACGUAGGUCACAAGCGUUGUCCGGAAUUACUGGGUGUAAAGGGAGCGCAGGCGGGAAGACAAGUUGGAAGUGAAAUCCAUGGGCUCAACCCAUGAACUGCUUUCAAAACUGUUUUUCUUGAGUAGUGCAGAGGUAGGCGGAAUUCCCGGUGUAGCGGUGGAAUGCGUAGAUAUCGGGAGGAACACCAGUGGCGAAGGCGGCCUACUGGGCACCAACUGACGCUGAGGCUCGAAAGUGUGGGUAGCAAACAGGAUUAGAUACCCUGGUAGUCCACACUGUAAACGAUGAUUACUAGGUGUUGGAGGAUUGACCCCUUCAGUGCCGCAGUUAACACAA
rnacentral:rRNA from 1 species